GAAAUGCGAUAAGUAAUGUGAAUUGCAGAAUUCAGUGAAUCAUCGAAUCUUUGAACGCACCUUGCGCUCCUUGGUAUUCCUUGGAGCAUGCCUGUUUGAGUAUCAUGAAAUCAUCAAAGUAAAUCUUUUGUUAACUCAAUUGGUUUCUACUUUGGUAUUGGAGGUCUUUGCAGCUUCACACCUGCUCCUCUUUGUUCAUUAGCUGGAUCUCAGUGUUAUGCUUGGUUCCACUCGGCGUGAUAAGUUAUCUAUCGCUGACGACACUGUAAAAGGUGGCCAAGGUAAAUGCAGAUGAACCGCUUCUAAUAGUCCAUUGACUUGGACAAUACUUUUAUGAUCUGAUCUCAAAUCAGGUAGGACUACCCGCUGAACUUAAGC
rnacentral:misc_RNA from 1 species